UGUAUUUUGACAACAAGGAUCUGUUUAAAUCUUUCUCAAAGUUACAUUGCAUUACAUUUAAACUAAAAACAAAAGGAAAACAAGACACAUUAGCUUGGUUUUUUAAAAAAGCAAUGUUCUUGUUUUAUCUUUCAGCCCCAGAACUUGCCAGUCAAGAUGAAAAACUUCUUCUAAUGGAAUCCAGCUUGAAAGCUACUCAAGAGCAGCUAACUGAGCAAAUAGCAGAAACAGUUCGCCAAGAACAGAACAGUAGAAAACCCCAGGCAGAGCUGAAGACAGUGACAGAAGGGAUUAUUGCUUCUGAAGAAGAAAAAAAAUGAUUACAAGAUAUGCUUCAGCCAAAUAUAUUGGGCUUACUCUAAGAAAUAGUAACACGUCAUGAAAUUUUUCUUGAAAAUAAAUACGAGCCUCAGCAUGUCGAUUCUGUACAGAUUUGCAAGUGUAGACCAAGGACUAUUAGCACAAAUGACAAGAAAUAUCUAAGAAAAUCUCAUGAAUGUUCAUUAAGAAACAUGGUCACAUAGGUCUUCUCAUCUUUUGAAUAAAUAAAGCAUAUGAAAAACUGAUAUGUCAGCCACACGAGUCAACAACACUCUAACCAGAAAAACUGUAUAUAGCCUUCGCAUGUACUGAUUACACAAAACAAAUACUACCAAAAUUUGCAUGUGACUAGUAUGUAAACAUUUUAUCGGUUUUUCUUUUCCAAAUGACAUAAUUACAUUGUAUUUUGAAACCAGAUUAAAGUAUAUUACCCAUGAUGGUAUCUUUGCAAAAACAGUUGUCUUAAAUUGGAUUCUGAGAUAGAGAGUUGUGUGUAGGUCUGUAGGGAGUGUUCUUGGGAAAUACAGGAAGGUGGGACUGGGGAGGGGUGGGUCCAGCUAACUCCAAUCUUGAUGCCACAAAAGCAUCAACUGAUCCCUAGAGGAGCUCUGGAGAUGUCUCAAAUUGAGGAAAAGAGACACAGCCAUUAUAUCUCCAUGUCAGCCAGGCUUUGGCUCCUGAAAGGGGUCAUAAUCUUGCAUGAUUCCCAGUGAGGGGUCUCAAAUGGGAGACGUCAGCCAUUUAUGAACAUUCCUAGCAGCUGGAGGAUGGAUGCUGAUCCCUACAGAGGGGAUUUGGUGGAGCACUACAUUGUUCUCUAUAAUCAUACACCAUUAUGAAAUAUAUAAUCUAAUUUAGAGGAAAUUCUGUCACUUCAAAUGCAAAUUCAUUGCACAUAUCAACUUUUUUUAAUCUUCAAAGUGCAUGUCUCAUUUACUUAGAUUUCUACCAUAAAAAGAUUUGUCUAAAAAUGUUAACUAUUAAACACUCUCACCUAUUAGUAAUAAAACAACUUAGGAAAUUAAUAAUUAAGAAAUAAAACAGAUGCUAAAUGGACAAAACAGAUAGCAUAAUAACAAAAAUGUAAAGGAGCAGACAAUUUCAUAAAGUGCUUUCACUUAAUAAAAUAUUAUUUCAUUUGGUACUCAAACAAAAUACAGAAUUUAUAUAGUAAUUUCCAUUUUGAUAAUGAAGACAUUGAAGCACAAGAAGAUAAGGCAACUUAACCAAGGUAAGUGACAGGAACUUGAAUUAAACCAUCUAUUUUGAUAUCAGAUAACCAUGGGAAGUAAUAAUUCCUUUGAUACAUAGUAUUGAGGCAGAGGCAGGGCCAGUUGUAUCAGGAGCCAAAUCUCUAAGUUUCUAGGUAGUGUGUUUCAACCUGUUGAAUGUGAACACAUUUUUAAUGAAUGCAUAUUCAGCUUAAAUGUGAAAACCAUAAAAUCUAAGUCUAUCAAUAUUUUUUAAAAUGUCUUAAAUAUCAACUAGAUAAUAUUAAAAUUUCACAUUAAGGUAAGUUUGAUUUUUUUCAAAAUCAAUAAAUUUUUCAGUCCCAAAUUCUUAAAGACAGUUAUGUCCAGUUAGCAGUAAGUUGAUUAUUAUCAUAGACUUCAAAAUGCUAACAACUACUAUAAGUAUCUACUAGGUAACACUGGCUGUUAUAGGCAUUGGAAAAACAGCGAUUAAAAAAAGGAGUACCAAUUUCUCUUAUAGAAUUUAUAUCCUAGUGAUAAAAAUAGAAAUGGAGAAGCUAGCUCAUGUGAUUAUUUGAGAUGGUAGAAAGGGCUUUGAAACAGGAGUCCCCAAACCCUUCUGUCCAUUACUGGCCCGUAUCCUGUUAGGAACCGGGCCACACAGUAGGAGGUGAGCAGUGGGCAAGAGAGCAUUACCAUCUGAGCUCCACCUGCUGUCAGAUCAGCAGCAGCAUUAGAUUCUCAUAAGAGCAGGAACCCUAUUGUGAACUGGGCAUGCGAGGGAUGUAGGUUGUGCGCCUCUUAUGAGAAUCUAAUGCCUGAUGAUCUGAGGUAGAACAGUUUCAUCCCCAAACCACCCCCCUCGCCAAAAUUAUCUUCCAUGAAACUGGUUCCUGAUGCCAAAAAGUUUGGGGACCCCUGCUUUGAAGGACAAAAAAUGACAAAAUAGAGUAGGUUGAGGAAGUGCUUUAUUUUCCCUCUGAAAAGUAAAUAGUUCAAUUGGACCCAAGUGAUGAGAAUUUGCUGACCAUUCAGAGUUCUAGGGGAAGAAUAUUCUAGACAGAACAAGCAAGUACAAAUUCUUUAUAUGGGGAUGAAGUUGAUGUUCUAGGAAAGUUUGAUUGAAUGGUUGCAGCCUUUAAUGAGAGGCUGGUGCUGGAGAUGUAGCUUGGGAAGUAAACAAAGGCCAAAUCAGGUUGAGUCUUGUGGACCGUUUGAGAAAAAGAGUUCGUUUUGUAUUCCAAUUCCAAUGAGAAGCCAUUGGACUUAAGCACGGAAAUAAUAUAAUUUGAUAAUUCUCUUUGAAAUAUUACUUUACUUGCUUAUUGGAGACUGUGUUAAGGGAGUGCAAAACUUUUUGAUGUACUGAUUACGUGAAACCUAAAGUCUUUUGUCAAUGAUGUAUUUGAUUAACAUUUAUUUUCUGAUACAUUGAUCAAAUUUAUACAAAGCAAAAUAAAAUUAGCAUAUAAACACAUAAACUUAUCCAUUCUACCACAACUCAAAUUAGAACAAAGUUAGAGUUAUGAAUUUUUGAUUAUUGUCUCUGUCUUCAUUAAAUGAAAACAUACUCUGUGGAACUUCUACUGGAGAAGAGUUCCACAUUGCCUAUAUCUUACGUACAUGGAGUUUCAUGGGAAAUUUUAUGGUAUAUUUAUGGCCAAUAUAUAAACAGGGAAAAAUUGUUUGCCAAAAUGUACUAAUAACUUUCAAAUUUCACAACAAAUAUUAUUAACAAACUGCAAAGCACCAGG
rnacentral:lncRNA from 1 species